ACAGCAGGCAGAGAGUCUAAACCCCGGAAGGUAGUGACCUGGGGGAACAAGGACAGCAUUCAGAGACCACGAGCAGGUGUGCUACACAACAGCAGGCUAACGCAAAACAGAAAAUGACAGGGCUGAUAACGGUGAAAACUCUUAACUGCAACAUUGAGCAGGAGGUUUUGUUUGCGGGCUGUUGGGAAAGGUUCUCUCUUGUUUGCAUAGCAGUUGGUGAUGACAGAGAUUGAACAGGUCUUACCGCUCUGUGGUUCCACAACCCAUCGCCUGUGCAGCCAGGACCUUGGCAGAGAAGUCUCUCCACUAUUUCCUGGAAAGCUACCUUUAUGGAGACACCAGUGAUGCCAACAUCUACCCAGUACCGGGAUGUGUAGCAGUGGUGAUGGGAUGGGGUGAGCCAGGAGACAGGAUCAGAUCUUUUCUCUCCACUGACUCCCUGUGACCCUGGCACGAGCCACCCCUUUUUAUCAUCUGAUUUCACCUAAGAAACAGGAACAUCAGCCUC
ensembl:antisense 1700125H03Rik RIKEN cDNA 1700125H03 gene